CCGAGCGGUCGGCGUCCCCCAACUUCUUAGAGGGACAAGUGGCGUUCAGCCACCCGAGAUUGAGCAAUAACAGGUCUGUGAUGCCCUUAGAUGUCCGGGGCUGCACGCGCGCUACACUGACUGGCUCAGCGUGUGCCUACCCUACGCCGGCAGGCGCGGGUAACCCGUUGAACCCCAUUCGUGAUGGGGAUCGGGGAUUGCAAUUAUUCCCCAUGAACGAGGAAUUCCCAGUAAGUGCGGGUCAUAAGCUUGCGUUGAUUAAGUCCCUGCCCUUUGUACACACCGCCCGUCGCUACUACCGAUUGGAUGGUUUAGUGAGGCCCUCGGAUCGGCCCCGCCGGGG
rnacentral:ncRNA from 1 species